rnacentral:rRNA from 1 species
AUUGAACGCUGGCGGCGUGGUUAAAGCAUGCAAGUCGAGCGAACCCGCAAGGGUGAGCGGCGAAAGGGUCAGUAAUACGAUCGAACGUGCCCCGAGGUGAGGGAUAGCGGUGGGAAACUG